CUGUAGUUAUGGUACAUCAUCCAUAUUUCUUCGUAAGUUGUUGUUCAUUUGUCUUUUCAUAUUUACGUGCUCCAUUACUUGGCUGCAGAUUUAAGGAUAGUGAAUGGUAUGAGCACCGAGCUGGGAUACCUGCUGCAAGCAGUUGUCGCAGGCGGUGCUACGAUUGGCCAGGCACUGUUCUCGGCUGAACAUCUCUCCGAAGUAGUUGAGCUGCUGCGCUCUCCGGCAGUCGGUGCGGUUCUCGCAGAAAGACACCAUGCGCCACAAGUUGUCCACGUGUGUCUGCUUGGCUGCGAAGUUCUCCCGGUCCACUGCACAGGCCACAAUAGUUGCUCCAUGUAACCUUCAGCUAGCUUCCAACACACACAUUACACAGCUUCAAGCACUUCAUUAGCAUUCACACCACAUUUUUUCCAACUUCAACAUACACCAAAUAGGAUUAUCUCUGAUGCAUAAAUAAAUUGUUUGUUUGUAUUAUAUUUGUAUUGUUAUUGUAUAGUUUACCUUGUUAUUAAAGGCUAGCUUUGGUUUAUUACAGGCCUGAUUUUCAGUAUGACUUUACAUUGUUAUAUAUAAAUUUACCAUUAAGUUGAAAAUCUUAAGUAAACUCAGAAACGUUAUAGGUGAGAAUGAGAAUACAUGAUACUACAAGCACUAGGCCAUGAUGGUGAACAAGUCCGUACUUUGCCGAAUUCAGGAAACACUUAGGAAUCGUUACAGAACCACCUAGGUGGUGCAAUCAUCUCCAUCCAUUUAUUUUGUUCCACCUUAUAUUAUUCUUUGGGGCAGGUAUUUUUCACAAAAAAAACUGAACAUUGACUAGACUGGAAUGCAGUAUGCCCAUGCCAGCAGUUUCUUGCUUGUUAUUGGCACCCAUCUGUGAGAAAAGCCUUUUCUUUAUUCGGCCAAGCCAUUCAGGAUGGUAUGCUUUUUCAUAUACAUAAUUGGUGUGAUUGGUAUGCCGACAGUAGAUGUGUACCAGAAAUAAACUGGACCAAUCAUGGAAGGGGGGAGGGGAGGAAAGAUGAUGCUACAGUGUUUUAAGUCACAGUUAGUAUCAAAAUCUGUUUGCGGAUAAAAAAUUGCUCUGACCCUACAACUCUGGUAAAUCGCCAGUGGUGGCACGCAAACACAGCAUAAGUACUGGACCUUGAAUGGUUACAUGCCAUAGCUCGCACCUAUUCCUAUGUGAUAGCUGAAUAAAAAAAUUAUCUUUUAAGGUGAAAGACGAUGUCAAAGGUCAUGGCCAAUUUACUGUAAAUACAUUUUUGGUUGUGUGCGUACAGUGGUGGGUGGUACCAUGUAGUCUGCUGGGAUAUAAUUUUAAUAAUCUUUGGCUAAAUUAUAUUUUGGCACCUACCUUGAAGUUAAGUUUAAUUUUGUAGUUUUUUUUCAGGGUUUAUAUAUAUAUUUUUUCUCACUGAUGGGCUUUAGUUUUACACUUUCAUAAUUCUCGAAAUAUUACGGGUGUAUAACUGUGUUCCGUCAAAUUUGUUUGGUUUCCCUGUGUAUUUUUUAUUGUUCAAUAUCAAUGGACCACCGCCACAAGUUGAAUCAUGAGUUUGUAAUCAUAAAUUAUAUCGUUUUGUAGUAUCACAUCUAGUAAGAUUUAUUUUUAGUUACUAAAAGAAAAUUUUUUUUUUUGGUAAUUGAAUAAACAAAUUGACUAGCUGAAAAUGUCCCUCCAUAUGUUUUGUUAAUGAAGCAUUUACGAAUAAAUUGACAAGUCCAUGAAUUCUUCGAGGAAUCACACAAGUUUGAAAAUAGUAGCUAUUAUUCCAACAACAUCCUUUAUUUUGCAUCCAAAUAUGAACUUUAUGACCCACUUUGUAUUUUAAAACAAUUUGUAAUUAUGUUUACAUUUAAAACGUGUUUGUUUGUGCCCAAUUGAUUUUAAAAGUUUAAUCAUGUUUUAAAGUUUAAUCAUGUUUUGAAACAUGUCUGUGAAACUGAUUCUUUUAUCACACAAUAUGUAAAUCUAUAGUAAAGAUGUACAUAAAAAUAA